rnacentral:misc_RNA from 1 species
AGAUAAGAACGCAGCGAAAUGCGAUACGUAGUGUGAAUUGCAGAAUUCAGUGAAUCAUCGAAUCUUUGAACGCACAUUGCGCCCCUUGGUAUUCCGGGGGGCAUGCCUGUUCGAGCGUCAUUUCAACCCUCAAGCUCUGCUUGGUAUUGGGCACCGUCCUUUGCGGGCGCGCCUCAAAGACCUCGGCGGUGGCGUCUUGCCUCAAGCGUAGUAGAAUACACCUCGCUUCGGAGCGUAAGGCGUCGCCCGCCGGACGAACCUUCUGAACUUUUCUCAAGGUUGACCUCGGAUCAGGUAGGGAUACCCGCUGAACUUAAGCAUAUCAAUAAGCGGAGGA